UCCCUGGUGUCUCAGAUGGUAAAGCAUCUGCCUACAAUGCAGGAGACCCGGGUUCAAUCCCUGGGCUGGGAG
rnacentral:tRNA from 1 species